UGGGGAAUAUUGCACAAUGGGCGCAAGCCUGAUGCAGCCAUGCCGCGUGUGUGAAGAAGGCCUUCGGGUUGUAAAGCACUUUCAGCGGGGAGGAAGGCGGUGAGGUUAAUAACCUCAUCGAUUGACGUUACCCACAGAAGAAGCACCGGCUAACUCCGUGCCAGCAGCCGCGGUAAUACGGAGGGUGCAAGCGUUAAUCGGAAUUACUGGGCGUAAAGCGCACGCAGGCGGUCUGUCAAGUCGGAUGUGAAAUCCCCGGGCUCAACCUGGGAACUGCAUUCGAAACUGGCAGGCUAGAGUCUUGUAGAGGGGGGUAGAAUUCCAGGUGUAGCGGUGAAAUGCGUAGAGAUCUGGAGGAAUACCGGUGGCGAAGGCGGCCCCCUGGACAAAGACUGACGCUCAGGUGCGAAAGCGUGGGGAGCAAACAGG
rnacentral:rRNA from 1 species